UACGUAGGGCGCAAGCGUUGUCCGGAAUCAUUGGGCGUAAAGCGCGUGUAGGCGGCCCGGUAAGUCCGCUGUGAAAGUCGGGGGCUCAACCCUCGAAUGCCGGUGGAUACUGUCGGGCUCGAGUACGGGAGAGGCGAGUGGAAUUCCUGGUGUAGCGGUGAAAUGCGCAGAUAUCAGGAGGAACACCAAUUGCGAAGGCAGCUCGCUGGAACGUUACUGACGCUGAGACGCGAAGCGUGGGGAGCAAACAGG
rnacentral:rRNA from 1 species